rnacentral:rRNA from 1 species
AUUGAACGCUGGCGGCAGGCCUAACACAUGCAAGUCGAAUGGUAACAGGAAACAGCUUGCUGUUUCGCUGACGAGUGGCGGACGGGUGAGUAAUGUCUGGGAAACUGCCUUAUGGAGGGGGUUAACUACUGGAAACGGUAGCUAAUACCGCAUAACUUCGCAAGACCAAAGAUGGGGACCUUCGGGCCUCUUUCCUUUAGAUUUUCCCAGAUGGGAUUAGCUAGUAGGUGGGGUAACGGCUCACCUAGGCGACGAUCCCUAGCUGGUCUGAGAGGAUGACCAGCCACACUGGAACUGAGACACGGUCCAGACUCCUACGGGAGGCAGCAGUGGGGAAUAUUGCACAAUGGGCGCAAGCCUGAUGCAGCCAUGCCGCGUGUAUGAAGAAGGCCUUCGGGUUGUAAAGUACUUUUAGCGGGGAGGAAGGGAGUAAAGUUAAUACCUUUGCUCAUUGACGUUACCCGCAGAAGAAGCACCGGCUAACUCCGUG